CUUCUAUGAUGAGACAAAUUGGUCCGUGUUUCGGAGGCGGACUCAAGACCCGCCGUUUGACGAAACAACAAGCACUUGUGCACCUCUGAGUAG
rnacentral:snoRNA from 1 species